UACGGAGGGGGCUAGCGUUAUUCGGAAUUAUUGGGCGUAAAGGGCGCGUAGGCGGCCCGGUAAGUCAAAGGUGAAAUCCCUCGGCUCACCUGAGGAACUGCCUUUGAAACUGUCGGGCUUGAGGCCGGGAGGGGGUAGCGGAAUUCCCAGUGUAGCGGUGAAAUGCGUAGAUAUUGGGAGGAACACCGGUGGCGAAGGCGGCUACCUGAACCGGUUCUGACGCUGAUGCGCGAAAGCGUGGGUAGCAAACAGG
rnacentral:rRNA from 1 species